CCGCCGCCGCUCCCGCCGGCCCCGUUCCGCGCGGGGGGAGGAGUUCGGUCACCGCUCACCGAAAGGGAAGUGCUUCGGUAAAGAGCUGAACUAGGGUCCCGCGCCUUGAUAAACUAACUGCGUGAUUGCGGAGGUGCUCUGUUAGCAUCUCGUUCUGGCGACUUUGCAUAGGGCUUUCCCAGAGCACUCUACACUGAGCCAUGGGAAACGGGGGCACAACAAAGUGAAGACUGAUCACAGACCUCCUUCAGGAUGGCAAGACUCACCCGGCUGCUCAUGGAGAGCUCUACACGCCCCGGCUGCCUGCCCUGCCUCGUGGUACUACUGUGCACAGUGUGCUGUGUUUAAAGGCUACUGCUGUGCUGUUUCCUUGCUCCAGUCUGUCCAUCCUGGAUGGUCCAUUUUGUUCCAUCUAAUCACCACACAGGUUUGGAGAAGGUGACCUGAAAAGUCAUCCUUGUACUUCCCUAGCCUGCAAAAUGGACUAAUGGAAUUUUUAAUACCAGAACACCUUUUGAGGCCAAAGCAGUGCUUGUAUAGAUGAUUUUAAACGUUUCCUUCUAGUAGACAUGUAAAACAUGUAGUUUGCUUUUGUAAGGGUUUUUCUUUCUGUGUGCUUAAAGUACUCUUCCAUACCAACAGAGCUGUGACUGGAUGUAGUAUGACCUGGCAUAAAUGCCAGGGUAGAAACUAAACUUUGGUAGUUGGAUUUGAUCAGAAAAAUAAAAGCAGCUUGAUGUUUC